UACGUAGGUGGCAAGCGUUGUCCGGAUUUACUGGGCGUAAAGCGCGCGCAGGCGGUCCUUUAAGUCUGAUGUGAAAGCCCACGGCUCAACCGUGGAGGGUCAUUGGAAACUGGGGGACUUGAGUGCAGAAGAGGAGAGUGGAAUUCCACGUGUAGCGGUGAAAUGCGUAGAGAUGUGGAGGAACACCAGUGGCGAAGGCGGCCCCCUGGACGGUUACUGACGCUGAGACGCGAAAGCGUGGGGAGCAAACAGG
rnacentral:rRNA from 1 species